rnacentral:lncRNA from 1 species
UCAGUUAAGCUCUUGAUCCAGACUUUGCCCGCUGCACUGCCUCUAAUGAUCUUUUUGUUUGAUAGCAAAAGUCCUCUGGCAGAGGGUUAUUUCACCUGAGCUGCAGCCACCUCCGCCUCGCCGAGAAGGAAUACUUUGGACUGGAAUUCCAGAGCCAGGCCGGACAUACCGUGUGGCUGGAACUUCUCAAGCCCAUAACCAGGCAGAUCAGAAAAUGCCGGAAACAGAGCCGGGGGUCCAAACCGUCGCCCCCUCCGUGUAGACGGUGAUUUCCCAAAAUGACUUUGCGAGCGCGCUCACGAUCAGAUCCUAAGGAGGUUCUUUUCAAAUUUAUGGUGAAAUUUUUCCCAGUGGACCCUGGACAUCUGCGAGAAGAGUUGACAAGGUACAGUACGUUUUUUUUUUUAAUUGCCUACGUUUUUAAUUACUAGUAGAAACUUUUUCAUGCAGUCUUCGUUGUUUAAAUAAUUCACUGUCUCCCACCAAAAGAAACUCUCUAUCAAUAGUCCUUUUGUUUAUCGGUGCAAUUUAUCUUUGCAAAUCUUUCUUUCUUUCUUUCGCUGUUUAGAAACACAAAACAUUCCACCCAGUCCAUCAUCUUUGUCUGCCCAUUAGCCAUGGCCAUAGCUUGCAGAUUUUUACUUACUAGGCAUCGAUUGGGCUUCUGUGUGAUCUGACAGCCUGAUGCAGACUCUGACCCAUCCCUGCACAACUGGGCUCUAGAAUAUAAACUUUUGUUUAAAAAACAAGUACUUUUCCAGCCUGGAAACAUUCCAGAUGUUCCCAAGUGUAAACCAGAGCAGCGGCACCCUGCCAAUUCUGCAGCCGGGCUGAGACAAUAGCUGAGAGGUGUGAGCUGCCCCAUUGUUCGAAGAGGUGCGUUCAUUCU